AGCCCAGCUGGAUAGAGCAUCACCACGGAGGGUCGGACGUUCGAAUCGUUCCGGGUGCGCCA
rnacentral:tRNA from 1 species